UACGGAGGAUCCGAGCGUUAUCCGGAUUUAUUGGGUUUAAAGGGAGCGUAGGCGGGUUGUUAAGUCAGUUGUGAAAGUUUGCGGCUCAACCGUAAAAUUGCAGUUGAUACUGGCAUCCUUGAGUACAGUAGAGGUAGGCGGAAUUCGUGGUGUAGCGGUGAAAUGCUUAGAUAUCACGAAGAACUCCGAUUGCGAAGGCAGCCUGCUGGACUGUAACUGACGCUGAUGCUCGAAAGCGUGGGUAUCGAACAGG
rnacentral:rRNA from 1 species